rnacentral:rRNA from 1 species
UACGUAGGGUGCGAGCGUUGUCCGGAAUUACUGGGCGUAAAGAGCUCGUAGGUGGUUUGUCGCGUUGUCCGUGAAAACUCACAGCUCAACUGUGGGCGUGCGGGCGAUACGGGCAGACUGGAGUACUGCAGGGGAGACUGGAAUUCCUGGUGUAGCGGUGGAAUGCGCAGAUAUCGAGAGGAACACCUGCGGCGAAGGCGGGUUGCUGGGCUGAUGACUGACGCUGAGGCGCGAAAGCCAGGGGAGCGAACGGG